rnacentral:tRNA from 1 species
GUCUCCGUAGCUCAGCUGGAUAGAGCGUUCGCCUCCUAAGCGAAAGGCCGCGCGUUCGAAUCGCGCCGGGGACGCCA